rnacentral:rRNA from 1 species
AGAGUUUGAUCCUGGCUCAGGAUAAACGCUGGCGGCGCACAUAAGACAUGCAAGUCGAACGGAAGUCGUUAUAAUUGAUUUUGAGUGAAAGAUUUAUCCGGAACGAUGAUGAUUUUAUAACAAUGGCUUUAGUGGCGGACUGGUGAGUAACGCGUAAGCAAUCUGCCUAUCAGAGGGGAAUAACAGUGAGAAAUCAUUGCUAAUACCGCAUAUGCCAUGAACAUCGCAUGAUGAAAAUGGGAAAGGAGUAAUCCGCUGAUAGAUGAGCUUGCGUCUGAUUAACUUGUUGGUGGGGUAACGGCCUACCAAGGUGACGAUCAGUAGCCGGACUGAGAGGUUGAACGGCCACAUUGGGACUGAGAUACGGCCCAGACUCCUACGGGAGGCAGCAGUCGGGAAUAUUGCGCAAUGGAGGAAACUCUGACGCAGUGACGCCGCGUAUAGGAUGAAGGUUUUCGGAUUGUAAACUAUUGUCGUUAGGGAAGAUAAAAGACAGUACCUAAGGAGGAAGCUCCGGCUAACUACGUGCCAGCAGCCGCGGUAAUACGUAGGGAGCAAGCGUUAUCCGGAUUUAUUGGGUGUAAAGGGUGCGUAGACGGGAAGCUAAGUUAGUUGUGAAAUCCCUCGGCUCAACUGAGGAACUGCAACUAAAACUGGUUUUCUUGAGUGCAGGAGAGGAAAGAGGAAUUCCUAGUGUAGCGGUGAAAUGCGUAGAUAUUAGGAGGAACACCAGUGGCGAAAGCGUCUUUCUGGACUGUAACUGACGUUGAGGCACGAAAGUGUGGGGAGCAAACAGGAUUAGAUACCCUGGUAGUCCACACCGUAAACGAUGGAUACU